UACGAAGGGGGCUAGCGUUGCUCGGAUUUACUGGGCGUAAAGGGCGCGUAGGCGGACAUUUAAGUCAGGGGUGAAAUCCCAGAGCUCAACUCUGGAACUGCCUUUGAUACUGGGUGUCUUGAGUAUGAGAGAGGUAUGUGGAACUCCGAGUGUAGAGGUGAAAUUCGUAGAUAUUCGGAAGAACACCAGUGGCGAAGGCGACAUACUGGCUCAUUACUGACGCUGAGGCGCGAAAGCGUGGGGAGCAAACAGG
rnacentral:rRNA from 1 species